UACGGAGGGGGCUAGCGUUGUUCGGAAUUACUGGGCGUAAAGGGCGCGUAGGCGGCGCGAUAAGUUGGGCGUGAAAGGCCCGGGCUCAACCCGGGGACUGCGCUUGAUACUGUCGAGCUGGAGGCAGGUAGGGGAGAUCGGAAUUCCCGGUGUAGCGGUGAAAUGCGCAGAUAUCGGGAGGAACACCGGUGGCGAAGGCGGAUCUCUGGGCCUGUCCUGACGCUCAGACGCGAAAGCUAGGGGAGCAAACAGG
rnacentral:rRNA from 1 species